rnacentral:rRNA from 1 species
UACAGGAGGUCUCAAGCGUUGUUCAGAUUCGAUUGGGCGUAAAGGGUGUGUAGGUGGACGCGCCUAAGUCGGGUGAUGGAAAUUCGGAGCUUAACUCCGAAACUGCAUUCGAGUACUGGCUGGUGCUUGAGGACUGGAGAGGAGACGUGGAAUUUACGGUGAGCGGUGAAAUGCGUAGAUAGUCGUAAGGAAGACCAGUGGCGAAGGCGGGUCUCGUGGACAGUUCCUGGACGCUGAGGCACGAAGGUCAGGGGAGCAAAACGGG